rnacentral:lncRNA from 1 species
UUUGUGAGGAUAUCAAUAAACAGAAGGAGAAUUGCUGCAUUUGAGGAAAUGUGCAUUUCUGGGGCAUAGAGGCAGUUAAGUAACUUUUCCAGGACCUCAUAGCUGGUGAGGGGCAGAGACAAAAAUCAAAACCCUGAGGAGCUAUUUGCAAGGUAGUCUGGGAACAGUAGCAAAGGCACAGAGCUAGGACAGGGACCAAGGGGUUCUGGCAAGCCCAGCUUUCAACAGCAACAUGGAGCAGAUGACAGUGGAGGAAGGGCCUGAGGCUUUACCUGAAAGGAAGCCCAGGAAAGGUCUAAGUGAUAAAGGAAUCUUUAUGGAUGGGGUCCAUAGUACAGAAUGUGAAUUUCUUCCACAAAAGACAGCUUUGCAGGACCAUUUCAAAGUAAUGUCAAAGAAAUAUAUUUUGGGAUACAAUAUUUUGAUUUCUUUCAAGUCCUGCUAUCUGCCAUGUGAUGCUACACUAGAGUCAGGUUGGAAUUUGGUAUCUUAUUGCUACAAAGAGUCUGUGUUGUCAGUCUUAAGAUCUCUCUUUUAAUGUUACUGCUGGUCAGUUGUGCUUGAACUCCAAAGGGAGGAGAGUUCAAUGAGGCAUGUCUGACACUCCCUUCCCAUCAUGGU